AUGAACGCUGGCGGCGUGCUUAACACAUGCAAGUCGAACGGUGAAAGAGAGCUUGCUCUCUGGAUCAGUGGCGAACGGGUGAGUAACACGUGAGCAAUCUGCCCCUGACUCUGGGAUAAGCGUUGGAAACGACGUCUAAUACCGGAUACGAGCUGCGAAGGCAUCUUCAGCAGCUGGAAAGAACUUCGGUCAGGGAUGAGCUCGCGGCCUAUCAGCUAGUUGGUGAGGUAAAGGCUCACCAAGGCGUCGACGGGUAGCCG
rnacentral:rRNA from 1 species